CGGGAGCUGAAGGCGGAGGAAAAGGCCGAUAUAAGGCAACGGGGAGCAGAAAUAAGGGCAACACAUCCGCAAUGCUUGCCAUCAUAAGCAUAAGCUUCCACUACCACACAGGCUUCUCAACUGAUUGAUAAAUUAUGUAGGUUUAGACGAUUUGCGCCAAUUCUUUUGAAUAGAUUGAGAUUCGAAUACACAUGUGACAGAGACACAUUCAUGUUGAGUUUUCAAUGUGGCAUUGUGUAGGUUUAGAAGGUGUCAGGAAUUCACCUCGUUCAUCAUGACAACGGUAUAGAAUGGCUACAUCUGCGUUCUUCACACUUUGACACUUUUCUAUAUAGCUGCACAGUUGCUUCUCCCUCAUUAAGGCUAGGUGACUUCGCCGAACACAUAGCAAGAGCCAAAGGAAUUUGACUAGUUGACUCCCUUGUUGUGUAUUCUUUGUCUGAUCCCACCGCUUGAUCAACUAGUAGCACUCGAGGUUUGUAAUCAGCACAAGUGUCAGCAAUUAGCACCUUAACCAAUUUCUCAAGGCAUGUGCAACCCAAAAUAAUAGAGAAUGACUCUAUGUAUGACCAACACACCUGACCUGCGUUCAUCUAAUGAGAACUGCAAUUGGUUGGCCCGGAGGGCAAACUGACUACGGUGAUUGGUGGAUUUGAAGCUAGUGUACAUAGGCGCUUGAAGAUAUGAAGCAAUUUGAUUUGUCAGGUUUAAUUUUCACUCAUCUGCUCCAUGUCCGUUUUUCUUAUCAAAUUUAAGCUUGUAUAUCCAACUAAACAUAAAUGAGACAAAAGGGAUAUCAGAGUGGCGAUCGAUUUCAGCACUAGCUUAUGCCUUAUCUAUGCAAUGAACAAACAAAUUCACUAGUAAGUGAAACUAAACUUGGUUCAGCCACCUUAAGAAAUCACCAUGCUUCCAAGCUUCAAGUGGUGGGCAAAGAUGGGCAGUUUUGUACCCAUCUGCUGAUCCAUCCAACACUCCCGGUACCAGCCACCCAGUAUGAGGACGUGCUUACUGCACAAUCUGCCACACUCGCAACAUCCUGCCUCAACUUUCAGCUGUUUCUGUACGAAAUUAAUUGGAGAGUUUCAAUAUAAAGUUACUUUCAGCUUCAGUAGUUUCAGUUUGAGUUUCAGUAUGACUGUGCACAUAUCUGCCACCAUAUAAGCAGAGAGCAAAUGACUGGAUCAUAGGAUGAAGCUAAGACGCAUCAAAUACAUGAAUCAUACCCAAAGUACAUUAUCCCGGUAUGUAUUAUUAGCAAUCCAGUUAGCCGAGCGAUUUAUUGUGAGCAGCAAGCACAUGUGAACUGCUUGGUAUCUGGCACUCUUAACUCUAGUGUAAUUAUUUGAUCCUGUUCUGCUUUCCUUCUCUUCACAGGAGCUGAAUGCUGAUUUAAGUCAGCUGCAUUAAUGCUCGAGGUCGAGGACAUGGUGAGCGAUACAGGGCCAUAUAAGGCAACGAGAUGCAGAAACCACACAUCCACAAUGCCACCAUCCAUAAGCAUCAACUUCCCCUUCCACUGAGGCUUUUCAAUCCAUCGAGAAAUCGUGUAGGUUUAGACGAUCUAUACCAUUUGUUUUAACAGAGAUACAGUACAGAUACAUAUGCGACAAAGACACACUCAUAUGUUGAGUUUUGGACAAGACAUUGUGUAGGUUUAGAAGGCGUCAGGAAUUACCAUCAUACUAUCUGGCAGUGCCGGCCUGCACAACCAAUCUGAGGAUCUGUGGUUGCUUCUGUCCAGUGGCGGAGCCAGCGAAAUGAUAAAUGGGAGGCCAGACAAUAGUUAAACAUACGUACUGAUACUGACCCUACAGCGCUUCUUCCGCAUGCCUGCAUCGCCAGUGUCGACUUGGACGAACUCACAAAGUGGCAAAUCAAAUUAAAAUGGGAUAGCAGCACCUGUAAAUGGCAUCGAUUUGUUUCAUCCCAAACCGAAAAGGUUGCUCCCCUACGCACCUAUGGUAGCUGUCUCCGACAACGAUGUCGAUGUCGGGGCGGAGCCUGGAGAGUGAGGUGACCGUGGAUCCUCCAACGCGACUAGUGCCGCUGAGGCCAAGCAUGAGCACAUGGCCGAUCCAUCUGGGUACAGUGCGAAACUGCAAAUACAAUGUGACACGAGUCUCCUCUCGUCCAUCAUGUUUCCUCUCCUAGUUUGCUUUUAAUUCCAACAGAAAUCAAGGGAUAGAGAUUUGGAGAAACUUUACAUGCCUGCAUGCUGGCACGGGGGGGGGGGCUGGCACCUAGUCACCGCGGAACGGGAACGAUGCAGCGUUCCACGUUCUGGGAACGAGCGUUCGGGACGGGAACGCGGGAACGAAAUCGUUCCCACAGUGUAAAAAUUGCAUCUAAAACGUCGUUCCUCGAUCCGCCGUUCUGGGAACUCCGAUGACUAGGGGCUGGCAUCCCGCUGGUUCCGCCUCUGCUUCUGUCCCCGCUAAGGCUGGGUGACUUCGCCGAAUGCGUACAAAUAGCC
rnacentral:lncRNA from 1 species